rnacentral:misc_RNA from 1 species
UACGGAGGGCGCGAGCGUUGUUCGGAAUUAUUGGGCGUAAAGCGCACGUAGGCGGCCCGAUCAGUCUCGCUGUGAAAGCCCGGGGCUCAACCCCGGGAGGCCAGGGGAUACUGUCGGGCUGGAGAGGGGCAGAGGCUGGUGGAAUUCCGGGUGUAGCGGUGGAAUGCGUAGAGAUCCGGAGGAACACCGGAGGCGAAGGCGGCCAGCUGGGCCUCAUCUGACGCUGAGGUGCGAAAGCGUGGGGAGCGAACAGG